GUGUGUGUGUGUGUGUGUGUGUGUGUGUGUGUGUGUGUGUGUCUCCCAAGGGAACAGCAGUGCUGAGUUCAGCUUGAGUAUUAACUCAUGGACUGUCAGCAAAAUACAGUCACCAAAAGACUAUGGGCUGUUUUGUCUUUUGCAGUGACAUCAUGUUGCUCACCUUUUAUGUUUUUCAGAGUUCAUUAGUUUCUGUUUGUUCUCAGUUAAUAUCCAGCUCAAUAGAUUGUGUAAGUAGAAUACUCCCAAACUGAAAGUCACCUACGUAAAAUAUAGUGAAAAAUAUGUCACCCACUUAAAGUAUAGUUGAAAACAUGUACUCGUUAGUUUUGUGUAGCCAACACUGGAUACUGGGUAAGGGCACAGGAUCCCAGGGCUAGACUUCGUGGGUUCAAGUUCCGAUUUAGCCACUUGGUGGCUUUGAAAUGCUUGACAACUUUAAGCCUCAAUUUGUUAAUUUUUUUUUAACUUAAUCCCAAAUGUGAUAGUAAGUCUCAGUUUCUUGAUCUGAAAAACAGAAAUUAUUCAAGAGAGUCUAUGUGAAAACUUUAUAGUUUUUACAGCCACUAUCUGGCUCAGGAAAGUCCUCAGCUUUAGGGGUUAAAGUUUUAAAGGCCACUUUAAAGUUUUUAAAGCCACUACCUGGCCCAGGAAAGCCCUCAGCUUUAGCCAUUAUUAGCACAUUAUUGUUGUGCUGGCUACACAUGCAUUAAUGAGGCAGGAAAAUGCUUAAGGAUAACAACCCAGAUUAUCUCAUCAGACCAAGACAGAUGCGUAUGCGUGCAUGCUCAUGUUUUAGCUCAGAACCACUUGUCUAAAAGCCUCUUGAACUCAGAGGCCCAGGCAGUAUCAACUUUGCUUUGUAGUGGAGCCAUCAGUUUUGUUAAUCAGUGAAAUUGACAUAAAGCUCUUUUUUUCUUUUAAGCACCAACCAUGUGCCUAGAGCUAACUGUGUCAAGAAGAGCAUGCUUCAGGUGGCUGCAGCGAGCAGUUCAACCUGUGGAGGAAUGAGAAUUAUAAUGUUGAGACAAGAAACACAAAACCCAGGGUAAGGUAGGAAUCACUGAAAGUCAGGCAAAGGAACUGGCAUCCAAUGAUGAGUCAGGCUUUGCCAGCCUCUGGCCCUACAGAUGGCUCUUUGGAGAGGAAAAAAUUAAGUCAGACCCGAGGGCACAGAUCCUAAGGGAAUGCCGGCAGCUCUGGGCUGUCUGUGAGAGUCCAGAUUUGCUGCUUCAUCCUGGGGCUUUAGGCAAGUCCCUUUUCCUCCCAGAGCUCCAGUAUCCCUUCUAUCAAAUGAUGAUGUUCUGCCUUUCUCCUAGGAUGGCUGUGGAGAUCCAGGGAGGCAGUGGCCAUAGGGAUGCUAUGUUAACUGCAGAUGCAGCCAUAGGAGCACUUUGCUAACUGCCAACGUGAGUUCAGACUCUUCAGGCUAUUUGGCACCCAGAAUCACUAUCGGUGUUCCCUGAGGAGCGUCAGCCUUGAUGCCUCUCUGAGUAAGAUGAUGGGAGCACCCCGUGAGAAAAGUUGCCUCGGUGAGAGUAAGGAGGCCAUCGCACCUCCUCCAAACAAACCAACUCCAUCAACCUCUGGCUGUUAAAUAACAAACAUCAUCAUCCAGAAAUCAAAUUGAAAGCUGCCUUAUACUGAAUGAGGAAGAGAACAAAUACUUGGCUGAAUGAGCUCUUAGAUGAUGGUGAUGUUUAUCUCCCUGAUCUCGGCACGGUGAAAAGAAUGGCAUGCAGGGGUUGCUGCCCAAGCCUCGGUGC